UACAGAGGUCCCAAGCGUUGUUCGGAUUCACUGGGCGUAAAGGGUGCGUAGGUGGUAAGGCAAGUCAGGUGUGAAAUCUCCGGGCUCAACCCGGAAAUGGCAUUCGAAACUACCUUGCUAGAGGGUUUGAGGGGGGACUGGAAUACUUGGUGUAGCAGUGAAAUGCGUAGAUAUCAAGUGGAACACCAGUGGCGAAAGCGAGUCCCUGGAAAACUCCUGACACUGAGGCACGAAAGCUAGGGGAGCAAACAGG
rnacentral:rRNA from 1 species